AGGGCUAUCGCCAAGCGGCACGGCAGCGGCUUUUGAUGCCAGCAUUACCUGGUUCGAAUCCAGGUAGCCCAGCAA
rnacentral:tRNA from 1 species